UACGUAGGCAGCAAGCGUUGUUCGGAGUUACUGGGCGUAAAGGGUGCGUAGGCGGCUUCUUAAGUUUGGUGUGAAAUCUCCCGGCUCAACUGGGAGGGUGCGCCGAAUACUGAGCGACUAGAGUGCGGGAGAGGAAAGUGGAAUUCCUGGUGUAGCGGUGAAAUGCGUAGAUAUCAGGAGGAACACCGGUGGUGUAGACGGCUUUCUGGACCGUAACUGACGCUGAGACACGAAAGCGUGGGUAGCAAACAGG
rnacentral:rRNA from 1 species